rnacentral:rRNA from 1 species
CCUACGGGUGGCAGCAGUGGGGAAUCUUCCGCAAUGGGCGAAAGCCUGACGGAGCAACGCCGCGUGAUCGAAUGAAGGCCUUCGGGUUGUAAAGAUCUGUUGACAGGGACGAAUAAGCAAUGCGAAUAGUUUUGUGUAUGACGGUACCUGAGUAAGAAGCUCCGGCUAAAUACGUGCCAGCAGCCGCGGUAAUACGUAUGGAGCAAGCGUUAUCCGGAUUUACUGGGCGUAAAGGGAGCGUAGGCGGCCUGCCAAGUCUGAUGUGAAAUACCGGGGCUCAACCCCGGGGCUGCAUUGGAAACUGGCAGGCUGGAGUGCCGGAGAGGCAGGCGGAAUUCCUAGUGUAGCGGUGAAAUGCGUAGAUAUUAGGAGGAACACCAGUGGCGAAGGCGGCCUGCUGGACGGUGACUGACGCUGAGGCUCGAAAGCGUGGGGAGCAAACAGGAUUAGAUACCCCAGUAGUC